GUUUUGAAUGGUGGUAUCCGGGGUGGUACUCAUGGCGUGCACAUACGCGUAUACCCCGUCAGGAUUGCUACUAACUACAACGACAUCACGCACCACUUCCUUUCUUGCAUCUUCGUUCACUUGGAUCUGAGAAAGCAGGCUAGACUACGUCAUGCAGAUAGGGAUCGGCGAGAGGCUGCUUCUUUGUUACAGAGCACUGUAUUUCAGUGCAUAGUAGCGGCAACUCUCUGUUUGACUCUGUGCUUCGGGUCUUCUAUCGGCCUAGGAUAAUGUAGUUGACACAAGAGCCACAGAGAUCCACUAAUCUACUUACUGAUAUAUUUUUUGUUUUGUUAUCUGACCCCUUCGUUGCUAACAGAGAACUUGAAAACAGCGCAUCAUUUUCUCUAAAAAGGUCUGAAAUGGUGCCGACGAAGAUCAACUUCGAUACGUGCCUAUUUAUGUGACCAUCUAUUGCCGUCAAUGUCAGCACAUCUGACCUCCUGUUCGGCGUAGGGCUGUCAUCGGAGCUCAUGUCGCCAUUGGGAAUCUCUUCACCACCAUCAACAAACAUCACUUCAAGUGCCCAUUCAACGGCUAGUGCUCCUUUCUGUCAUGGCACGAAAACCGUUUCCGGUUCACCAUGAAUUGGGAUUCAGUCUGUCCUUCCUAUUUUGAUCAUUUAUGUUAAGCGACUUUGCUUCUUGCUUAUGAAGACAAGGAGCCGACAACUCUGUAAUGAUAGAAUAAUGUACUAGCCGCCAUCCCGGCGGUCCAUCUAGCCUCGUCGCAGGGCGUGUGGAGGGCAAUCCCAGCGGCACGCCUUCUGCUAGCUCAAGUCGUCAUAGCAGUCACUUUGUGAUCUAUGCACAUGGAUGUAACGU